CGGCGGCGGAGAUGCGGACUUUCUCUGCUUCUCCGCGGUGGGCUCUGCGGUGCUGAUGCUGGGAGGGGGUUGCCGGGGUGCGGCGUUUGUCAGCCAGAGGCCGGGAGGACGACGCGGGGGUGGGCAGACAGAGAAGGGCGGGCAGGAGCCAAGCGGCGAGCUCCAGUGACCGGCGUGCCCGUGGCUUCGGUGUUCCCGCCUCGAGGACCCGGGAGUUCGGUCCCGGAGCCCCUCGGGGGCAGGCGUGGAGGGGAGCCUGGCCGGCGGGCGGGGCCAGGGCCGCCCUCAGUAGACUCAGAUGACCUGUAUCUUCAAAAGAUGGGGCGUCUUCCCUAAGGACGGGGGAGAGCAUUUAUCGAGGACCUAUCAUGCCAGACGGCUGGGGAUGCAGUGUCACUAAGAGAGACGUGGUCCCAUCCUUGUGAAACUUACAAUCUAGCAGGGAAGACACACAAUGAAGAUGUAAUGAGAAGCUCACUGAGUGCUACACAUGCCGACUCCCAGUAAAUAAUAAUAAUUAAUAUAAACACCUAUAGAAUGAAUAAGUGAAUGGUUGAGUAACUGUGUGAAUAAUAACCCCUUCUCCACAAUUUUUCCCCCUCUCUGCUUUAUAUUACAUUUAGCCUAAAAUAUAACGUUUUUUAUGGUCCC
rnacentral:lncRNA from 1 species